CUACUCCCAGGUCUAUUAAAGGCACCAUCUACAAUAGCUCCCAGCAUUUGGAUCCCAUGAUCAUGACAAAAUAUGGACCAUGAUGAUGUCUCACACUAGAGUAAGGUGUUACUAUAACUCCAUAGUAUGCAGAGACAAGCAACCCCUUAGAUGAUUGGAAGCAGCAAUUUCGUUCGGGAGUUUCUCCUUUUCCAUUGAACAAAAAAGAGAUUGGGAGUCUGGACAUCUGUGCUUUUAUUUUGGCCUCUGUCACUGACCGUGUGCAAUCUGGCUUUUUAUCAGCAUCAAGUAUCCCAUGAGAUUUAAUAUUAGAACCAUCAAUCAUAACAUAACAUUGUAUUUCCCUCUAUUGCUCUAUGUCUAGAAUGCUAUAUGCACAUAAGAUGCAUAAUGAAUAAAAUCUGGCUCCACUGAAGUCAGUGGGACUUGUG
rnacentral:lncRNA from 1 species